CCUACGGGGGGCUGCAGUGGGGAAUAUUGGACAAUGGGGGCAACCCUGAUCCAGCCAUGCCGCGUGUGUGAAGAAGGCCCUCGGGUUGUAAAGCACUUUCAGUGAGGAAGAACGCCUGGUGGUUAAUACCCAUCAGGAAAGACAUCACUCACAGAAGAAGCACCGGCUAACUCCGUGCCAGCAGCCGCGGUAAUACGGAGGGUGCGAGCGUUAAUCGGAAUUACUGGGCGUAAAGCGCGCGUAGGUGGCUUGAUAAGCCGGUUGUGAAAGCCCCGGGCUCAACCUGGGAACGGCAUCCGGAACUGUCAAGCUAGAGUGCAGGAGAGGAAGGUAGAAUUCCCGGUGUAGCGGUGAAAUGCGUAGAGAUCGGGAGGAAUACCAGUGGCGAAGGCGGCCUUCUGGACUGACACUGACACUGAGGUGCGAAAGCGUGGGUAGCAAACAGGCUUAGAUACCCCGGUAGUC
rnacentral:rRNA from 1 species